rnacentral:rRNA from 1 species
UACAGAGGGUGCAAGCGUUGUUCGGAAUUAUUGGGCGUAAAGCGCAUGUAGGCGGCUCCUUAAGUCGCGUGUGAAAGCUCCAGGCUCAACCUGGAAAGUGCGCGCGAAACUGGGGGGCUUGAGUGCCGGAGAGGGUGGCGGAAUUCCCGGUGUAGAGGUGAAAUUCGUAGAUAUCGGGAGGAACACCAGAGGCGAAGGCGGCCACCUGGACGGACACUGACGCUGAGACGCGAAAGCGUGGGGAGCAAACAGG